AUUGAACGCUGGCGGCAUGCCUUACACAUGCAAGUCGAACGGUAACAGGUUAAGCUGACGAGUGGCGAACGGGUGAGUAAUAUAUCGGAACGUGCCCAGUCGUGGGGGAUAACUGCUCGAAAGAGCAGCUAAUACCGCAUACGACCUGAGGGUGAAAGCGGGGGAUCGCACGACCGCGCGCGAUUGGAGCGCCCGAUAUCAGCUUAGGUAGUUGGUGGGGUAAAAGCCUACGAAGCCAACGAUCUGGAGCUGGUCUGCGAGGGCGACCAGCCACACCGGGACGGGGACACGGACGAGACUCCUGGAGGAAGCAGCAGGGAGGAAGUGUGGACAAUGGACGCAGUGCAGAACCAGCAAUGCCGCGUGCGGGAAGAUGGGCGUCGGGUUGUAAACCGCUUUUGGCAGGGAAGAAAAGUGUCUGGGUAAUACCUGGGGCUCAUGGAGGUACCUGAAAAAUAAGCAGCGGAUAACUACGUGCCAGCCGCCGCAGUAA
rnacentral:rRNA from 1 species